rnacentral:rRNA from 1 species
GUGGGGAAUAUUGGACAAUGGGCGAAAGCCUGAUCCAGCCAUGCCGCGUGUGUGAAGAAGGUCUUCGGAUUGUAAAGCACUUUAAGUUGGGAGGAAGGGCAGUAAGUUAAUACCUUGCUGUUUUGACGUUACCGACAGAAUAAGCACCGGCUAACUUCGUGCCAGCAGCCGCGGUAAUACGAAGGGUGCACGCGUUAAUCGGAAUUACUGGGCGUAAAGCGCGCGUAGGUGGUUUUGUAAGUUGGAGGUGAAAUCCCCGGGCUCAACCUGGGAACUGCCUCAAAAACUGCAUGACUAGAGUACGGUAGAGGGUAGUGGAAUUUCCUGUGUAGCGGUGAAAUGCGUAGAUAUAGGAAGGAACACCAGUGGCGAAGGCGACUACCUGGACUGAUACUGACACUGAGGUGCGAAAGCGUGGGGAGCAAACAGGAUUAGAUACCCGAGUAGUCC